GACGAACGCUGGCGGCGUGCCUAAUACAUGCAAGUAGGACGCAGUUGCGAACGGGUGAGUAACGCGUCGGUAACUGACUAUUAGAGGGGGAUAACUAUUGGAAACGCUAGCUAAUACCGCAUACUAGUAGAUGGACCUGCGUUGUAUUAGGUAGUAGGUAGGGUAAUGGCCUACCUAGGCGACGGUACAUAGCCGACCUGGGAGGGUGGGCGGCCAAAAUGGGACUGGGACACGGCCCAAAAUCCCUCGGGGGGGAGCAAGAGGGAAAUUUCGGGAAUGGGGGGAACGCUGAACGAGCAACGCCGGGGUAGGGAAGAAGGUUUUUGGGUCGUAAAGCUCUGUUGGUAAGGAAACGGUACUUAACCAGAAAGGGACGGCUAACUACGUGCCAGCAGCCGCGGUAAUAC
rnacentral:rRNA from 1 species